GGAGAGGUGCCAGAGUGGCCGAUCGGGCUGGUUUCGAAAACCAGUGUACUGCAAGGUACCGUGGGUUCGAAUCCCACCCUCUCCGCCA
rnacentral:tRNA from 1 species